UUUCCGUAGGUGAACCUGCGGAAGGAUCAUUACCGAAUUGUCAACAAGAGUUGUUGCUGGUCUUCAAAACGAGGGCAUGUGCACGCUCUGUUUACACAUCCACUCACACCUGUGCACUUUCUGUAGUUCUAUAGCUGGGGAGGCCCUGCCUUCCUUCUGUAGUCCUAUGUCCCUUCACACACACACUCAGUGAUAAAGUCUCGUGGAAUGUAAGCCGCAUUUAACGCAAUACAAUACAACUUUCAGCAACGGAUCUCUUGGCUCUC
rnacentral:misc_RNA from 1 species